rnacentral:Y_RNA from 1 species
GGCCGGUUCCAAGGUAGUGAGUUAUCUCCAUUGAUUGUUGACAAUCAGGUACAGAUCGAACUCCUCGUUCUACUUACUCCAUCCCCCCUUCUCACUACUGCACUUGGCCAUUCAAAA